rnacentral:tRNA from 1 species
CUUACCUUAGUUUAACCAGAAUACUGGUUUUGGGGACCAGCGGUCUCGAAGGAGAGGUUUGA